UACGUAGGGAGCAAGCGUUGUCCGGAUUUAUUGGGCGUAAAGGGCUAGUAGGCGGUUCAGCAAGUCGGGUGUGAAAACUCUAGGCUCAACCUGGAGAGGCCACCCGAUACUGCUGUGACUUGAGUCUGGUAGGGGAGCACGGAAUUCCUGGUGUAGCGGUGAAAUGCGUAGAUAUCAGGAAGAACACCGGUGGCGAAAGCGCUCUGCUAGGCCGCAACUGACACUGAGGGACGAAAGCUAGGGGAGCGAAUGGG
rnacentral:rRNA from 1 species